rnacentral:rRNA from 1 species
UACGGAGGGUGCGAGCGUUGUCCGGAAUCAUUGGGCGUAAAGGGCGCGUAGGUGGCCACUUCAAGCGUGCGGUGAAAGUCCGGGGCUCAACCUCGGAUCGGCCGUGGCGACUCGUGGGCUGGAGCACUGUAGAGGCGGGUGGAAUUCCGGGUGUAGCGGUGGAAUGCGUAGAGAUCCGGAAGAACGCCAGUGGCGAAGGCGGCCCGCUGGGCAGUGGCUGACGCUGAGGCGGCGACAGCGUGGGGAGCAAACAGG